rfam:Smithella sp. SCADC Smithella_SCADC_Contig_226, whole genome shotgun sequence.
UCCAUCGCGAGGUGGGAUCUGAAGGAAGGCGAAGGCAAAACGCUGGCCUGACGGACAGGAACCGUAUGAGGCAUGGAGAGAGGAUGAGAAGGCAAUUAUCUUUAAAGUCCAGUACUUACCCGGAGUCUUUCCAUGUAUAUACGGCAGGCAUAAGCGGGAAGGUGGGUGCG